AGUGAACGCUGGCGGUAGGCCUAACACAUGCAAGUCGAACGGCAGCACAGUAAGAGCUUGCUCUUACGGGUGGCGAGUGGCGGACGGGUGAGGAAUACAUCGGAAUCUACUUUUUCGUGGGGGAUAACGUAGGGAAACUUACGCUAAUACCGCAUACGACCUACGGGUGAAAGCAGGGGAACUUCGGACCUUGCGCGGUUGAAUGAGCCGAUGUCGGAUUAGCUAGUUGGCGGGGUAAAGGCCCACCAAGGCGACGAUCCGUAGCUGGUCUGAGAGGAUGAUCAGCCACACUGGAACUGAGACACGGUCCAGACUCCUACGGGAGGCAGCAGUGGGGAAUAUUGGACAAUGGGCGCAAGCCUGAUCCAGCCAGACCGCGUGGGUGAAGAAGGCCUUCGGGUUGUAAAGCCCUUUUGUUGGGAAAGAAAAGCAGCAGGUUAAUACCCCGCUGUUCUGACGGUACCCAAAGAAUAAGCACCGGCUAACUUCGUG
rnacentral:rRNA from 1 species